UCUGUGAAAGAAAAAUCAACUGUUUUGAGAACUGGAGAAGCUGAAGAUUAUUCACAGGACAUAUCUUACUUGGAGGAACUGGAGGAACACCGAUUUUCUGUCUGAUUCCAUUUUUCUCUUCACACCAUUGAGCUUCGCUACCCA
rnacentral:lncRNA from 1 species